CGGCGGACGGGUGAGUAACACGUGGAUAACCUACCUAUAAGACUGGGAUAACUUCGGGAAACCGGAGCUAAUACCGGAUAAUAUAUUGAACCGCAUGGUUCAAUAGUGAAAGACGGUUUUGCUGUCACUUAUAGAUGGAUCCGCGCCGCAUUAGCUAGUUGGUAAGGUAACGGCUUACCAAGGCAACGAUGCGUAGCCGACCUGAGAGGGUGAUCGGCCACACUGUAACUGAGACACGGUCCAGACUCCUACGGGAGGCAGCAGUG
rnacentral:rRNA from 1 species